UACAGAGGGUGCGAGCGUUAAUCGGAAUUACUGGGCGUAAAGCGUGCGUAGACGGUUAUUUAAGUCGGGUGUGAAAGCCCCAGGCUCAACCUGGGAAUUGCAUUCGAGACUGAAUAGCUAGGGUACGGUAGAGGGAAGCGGAAUUUCCGGUGUAGCGGUGAAAUGCGUAGAUAUCUGGAGGAACACCGGUGGCGAAGGCGGCAUCCUGGACCAAUACUGACACUGAGGAGCGAAAGCCAGGGGAGCAAACGGG
rnacentral:rRNA from 1 species